GAUGAACGCUAGCGGUAGGCCUAACACAUGCAAGCCGAGGGGUAUGAUUCUUUCGGGUUUCUGAUACCGGCGCACGGUUGCGUACCGCUUAUGUAACUUACCCCAUUCACUUUUAUAUCCCGUCUAAAGUAGGAUUACUUCCGGAUAUCACUAAUGUGGCCUUCCACUUUGAUUAAAAGAUUUUUCGGACUUGGAUCGACAUGCGUCAGAUUAUCUAGUUGGAGAGGUAACGGCUCACCAAGGCGAUGAUAUGUAGGGGGCCUGAGAGUGUUACCCCCCACAAUGGGACUGAGACACGGAACAGACUCCGACGGGAGGAAGCAGUGAGAUAGAAUGGACAAUGGGAGAGAGCCUGAUCCAGCCAUCCCGCGUGCAGGAAGACGGCCCUAUGGGUUGUAAACUGCUUUUGAAAGGGAAUAAACCACCUUACGCGUAGGGGGUUGAAGGUAACAUACGAAUAAGCACCCGCUAACUUCGUG
rnacentral:rRNA from 1 species